UGGUGUGUUAGAAGUACACGCCCUACUUAUUUGACAUUUUUGAGAGUUUAUCCAAUCCGGUUCAAUUGUUUCAAAUUUGGCAGACUAUGUAUCUCUGCAUUCUAUUGACUACUCACAGAACCAGCUUCGGCCCCGCCCAGACAAACCUGGACCCCUAAAUGUACCUGCAGCAUUGCGUUUCACUCACUCACUGUGCACUCUAGCAUAGUAGGUGGCAGUAAUGCACCUUUCAGUUGGUUGCCACCCGCCAUUUAAAAGACAAAAGAAGAAGAAGUCACUCACUGUGACACGAACUGACAUUUUAUUUACUUGUAAAUGGACAGCUGCCUAGAUGCUUCUUUGUGUGUGGACACCAUUUCACCUCCGUUUCUUUUGAAAACAAGGGAACGAGCGCUCCGUUCCUACAAGACGUGAUCCACUUGCUGCUUCCCCAAACGCUGACGUAUCCCAGCUACCAAAAGGCAAGGAGGUUUCUUCUUAAACUGACAUGCCACUGCAGGCUGUGGGCACACGGCUACCUUGUAGAACAGUUGUUGCUUACCUCAGGAGCAAAGAUUAUGUGGAAAAUGGGAUAGAGACCAUCUUCAAUAAAGUCUUGCUGGACUCAGGUCGUUAUAUGGAGGACCUUACCCUGUCCCUACCAGGCCUCUGAGCAGAAUUUGAGCAACCUGACAGAAAGGAGGUCAUUAAUGUCAUGCCAAGAUUUAACAAACCAGCACUAUAAAAGCUAAGUUCAAAACGUGUUUGCUCCAAACACCAUUAAAACUGAUCUAACUACCUCUAUAUAUUGUUUACAUUUGUGAAGGUUGUGAGAUACAUAUGUAAUACUGGACAUUUCAUUAAUCUACUAUUCUAUUCUCUAUACCUUCUAGAGUAGUGUCAAGGAAAACAGCUGCAUCCUCCAUCUGUACAGCAGCUGCACUGCUUCCGAUGUCUUCCAAAAAGUGAUGAAGACAAAAAGAUCCUCACAUCUCCCGAGCUAACUGCCCACGACUUUACUUGUUCCACUUCACAAUCUGUGCUUUCAACAUAACUAUGAAUCCUCAUUUUGUGGUCUGCACAUUGAGCUGUGAAGGUAACUUAUCCAGCAUUAUAGUGCUGGUGCAUUUGUUGACAAUAAAGUUGGCUUUGACUAUUACUGUUUCA
ensembl:lncRNA